AAGUCGAACGGCAGCGGGGGAGAGCUUGCUCUCCUGCCGGCGAGUGGCGGACGGGUGAGUAAUGUCUGGGGAUCUGCCCGAUGGAGGGGGAUAACCACUGGAAACGGUGGCUAAUACCGCAUGAAGUCGCAAGACCAAAGUGGGGGACCUUCGGGCCUCACGCCAUAGGAUGAACCCAGAUGGGAUUAGCUGGUAGGUGGGGUAAAGGCCCACCUAGGCGACGAUCCCUAGCUGGUCUGAGAGGAUGACCAGCCACACUGGAACUGAGACACGGUCCAGACUCCUACGGGAGGCAGCAGUGGGGAAUAUUGCACAAUGGGGGGAACCCUGAUGCAGCCAUGCCGCGUGUAUGAAGAAGGCCUUAGGGUUGUAAAGUACUUUCAGUCAGGAGGAAGGGUGAGCAGUGAAUAGCUGUUUGCAUUGACGUUACUGACAGAAGAAGCACCGGCUAACUCCGUGCCAGCAGCCGCGGUAAUACGGAGGGUGCAAGCGUUAAUCGGAAUUACUGGGCGUAAAGCGCACGCAGGCGGUCUGUUAAGUCAGAUGUGAAAUCCCCGGGCUUAACCCGGGAACUGCAUUUGAAACUGGCAGGCUGGAGUCUCGUAGAGGGGGGUAGAAUUCCAGGUGUAGCGGUGAAAUGCGUAGAGAUCUGGAGGAAUACCGGUGGCGAAGGCGG
rnacentral:rRNA from 1 species